AACGAACGCUGGCGGCAGGCUUAACACAUGCAAGUCGAGCGGGACCUUCGGGUCUAGCGGCGGACGGGUGAGUAACGCGUGGGAACGUGCCCUUCUCUACGGAAUAGCCCCGGGAAACUGGGAGUAAUACCGUAUACGCCCUUUGGGGGAAAGAUUUAUCGGAGAAGGAUCGGCCCGCGUUGGAUUAGGUAGUUGGUGGGGUAAUGGCCCACCAAGCCGACGAUCCAUAGCUGGUUUGAGAGGAUGAUCAGCCACACUGGGACUGAGACACGGCCCAGACUCCUACGGGAGGCAGCAGUGGGGAAUCUUAGACAAUGGGGGCAACCCUGAUCUAGCCAUGCCGCGUGAGUGAUGAAGGCCUUAGGGUUGUAAAGCUCUUUCAGCUGGGAAGAUAAUGACGGUACCAGCAGAAGAAGCCCCGGCUAACUCCGUG
rnacentral:rRNA from 1 species